GAUUCCAGUUGGGCUUCCAGAGUGUUCCAGCAGCCACACUCAUCCCCCGUGUGAGUCCUGUCACUGGGGCUCCCAGCCAGACUGACCACUCAUCCCCCGUGUGAGUCCUGUCACUGGGGCUCCCAGCCAGACUGACCAUCUGGAGGACCAGAUCAGAGGAACCAUGGCCCAGAGAGCUGUUGGUCAGUCUGACUCGUCCUGUCAGCUCUACCCGGCUCUCCUGAUGGUGGGCUGGAUCGUAGGCUGUAUGGUGGUCAUAUACUUUGUCUUUGCUUAGCAGGAGAGAAGUUCAUGGAGGCCUGGCUGAUGGUUCUUCUCCUGGGUGCUGAAUGACGAUGUUGACAAGCUACCGAGAAGAUCCUGUCCUGAUCGUAGCACACAGUCUGGUCGCCAUGGUAUAGAAGUAGACCUUCCUGUAGAACACACCUAUAGCAGUGUAAUGAAGCGCGCUCUCUCUCUCUCUCUUUAUUCCUCUCCCUCUUUCUCUCUAAACUCAUUCUCUCUCUCAGUCGAACCUUGUUAGAGUUAGAGUUGACUUUACCCUAGUCUUUGUUUACUCAGAACAAAGGUGAUUUGUUUUGUGUAUGUUAUAAGAAUUUUACAACUAUAAAAAAGUGUGUCAAUAUAUACAGUCUUAUGCGAUGCGUUUAAAAAAACGUUCCAUGCAAAAUGUGCACUGUC